rnacentral:rRNA from 1 species
UCCUACGGGAGGCAGCAGUAGGGAAUCUUCCACAAUGGGCGAAAGCCUGAUGGAGCAACGCCGCGUGGGUGAAGAAGGUCUUCGGAUCGUAAAACCCUGUUGUUAGAGAAGAAAGUGCGUGAGAGUAACUGUUCACGUUUCGACGGUAUCUAACCAGAAAGCCACGGCUAACUACGUGCCAGCAGCCGCGGUAAUACGUAGGUGGCAAGCGUUAUCCGGAUUUACUGGGUGUAAAGGGAGAGUAGGUGGCAGAGCAAGUCCGAAGUGAAAACCCAAAGCUCAACUAUGGGAAUGCUUUAGAAACU